GAUGAACGCUGGCGGCGUGCCUAACACAUGCAAGUCGAGCGAACGCACGAGAAGCUCUCGCCCCUGAGGUUGGCGGCGGACGGGCGAGUAACACGUGCAUAGCCUACCUCUAAGACUGGGAUGAUUACGUGAAACCGGAUCUACUACCGGAUAAUAUUUCGUACCGCAUGGUGCAAGAGUUCUACACGCUUUUCGCGAUACUAAUAGACGAAUUCGGGCUGCAUUAGCUAGUUGGUAAGGUAACGGCUUACCAAGGCGACGAUGCAUAGCCGACCUGAGAGGAUGAUCGGCCACACUGGAACUGAGACACGGUCCAGACUCCUACGGGAGGCAGCAGUGGGGAAUCUUGCGCAAUGGGCGAAAGCCUGACGGAGCAACACCGCGUGAGUGAUGAAGGUCUUCGGGUCGUAAAGCUCUGUUGUUGGGAAAGAACAUAAGUAUAUGUAACUGUGCACAUCUUGACGGUACCUAAAGAAUAAGCACCGGCUAACUUCGUG
rnacentral:rRNA from 1 species